rnacentral:lncRNA from 1 species
CUUUGCUAUGGUAAAUAAUUCAUGUUUUCAAGACAAACUUUCUACCCACGAGCUGUGUACUGUCUUGUGCUGUGUGCACUUUUCAUUUAAAGAGUGCAUGGUGGACUGAGGUUGAAAUAAGACUGCACGGAUAUGUCGACUCCGCGGUAAAGUUCACUGGGGAUCAUGCUUCCAGAACGUUCCCUCUGAGGAAAGUCAAGCAGCCACCUUUACCUUGUCCACCUGGAGUCUGCCAGCAGGGCCUGGGAUUACAUCUUCUCCUCCCUCCCCCGGCCUCCCCAGUCCUCCUGUCUAUAGCCUGGAUCUGACACC